AUACGGAGGGUGCAAGCGUUAUUCGGAAUCACUGGGCGUAAAGCGCGCGCAGGCGGCUAUUUAAGUUGGAUGUGAAAGCCUACGGCUCAACCGUAGAACUGCAUCCAAAACUAUUUAGCUAGAGUGUGCGAGAGGAAGAUGGAAUUAGUUGUGUAGGGGUAAAAUCCGUAGAGAUAACUAGGAAUACCAAAAGCGAAGGCAAUCUUCUGGAACACUACUGACGCUGAGGCGCGAAAGCGUGGGGAGCAAACAAGAUUAGAAACCCUGUAGUCC
rnacentral:rRNA from 1 species